ACGCGGCAAUACUUCUUAUUAAACACAUGGAUAGGAGGGAAGUUUAAAUAUUUUGACACUUUUUGUCACACUUUUUUAUUGUGACACUUAUAUAGAGCGAUAUUGUAACAUUAAGGCAACAGUUGGUAUGUCGUUCAUUCAUAAACAGAAUCUGAGCAGACUGCAUCCUGCUGCAUUAAAUAAAUCUGAUCACCUCCUCAUGUUUGCUGCUGUUACGGUCUGUUUCACGCAGUGUACAUCGGAGCUCAUGUGUUCCUUAUCCCUUUCGGCUUUACACUGGUGGAUCCUCAAAGACUACAGUGGAGCUCUCUAAUGCCUAACUAUGGAAACUCAAAAGUCAAGAGGAGCGUUUAAAAAAAUAAUUGCAUUCGGUUCAUGAGAGAUUUGUUAAUGUAGCCAAGAAACAGAGUUCCAGGGACACUGUCAUGUAUACUUUGAAGAUGGAAAAGUGAUCUAUAGAUCAUCCUUGGGACAUGGUAAAUUCAUUAGGCUACUCUUUAAAUAAUGAAAACCCCAUUACCCCUUUGUCAACACAUGAUGAGUAUACUUUAGACACAAGAUUAAAUCUUUUGAAUGGUAAAACAGACUUAGUCUUUUGUUUUAAAAUAUGUCACAGAGGAAAUAUUUAAAUUUAUAAGGUAAAGCCUAUUUUCUGGGAGAGUUUCAGGUAGAAACAAGAAUGUGACAUGCUCUCACCUACAGAGAGCAUGCUGGCAGCCACUGUGAACAAAGAUCACCAUGAGGAGACCAAAUGUAUGUUGGUCUAUAUAGGGGGUGUCAGCCAUCCUCAGAAAGUCCUGUUAGUUUUAGACAAUGUGCUCAGCUUUGGUAAGAUCCUCUGUCAUAAAGGCAAAAUUCUGCAAAAAACAGAACAUGAAAACUGACUGCAUUGAAUCAUACAUGUUUGGUCCUUUAGCCUGCAAUAACUUUGAUGGAAAUGAAAACCUUCUUUACCAGUGUCUCCUCUUUGUACAGAACGGGCCACGGAUGAUGUCCUGUUCUACAGCACACAGGAAGCUCUUCAGAGUUUGCUUGUUUUCCGGCUCCAUCUCAGUGAGACUGGUAUCCAAACCAACCUUGUUUAUGAAGAAAAAGAUCCAGAGUGUUCUUAAGUCCAAACACACACACACACACACACACACACACACA